rnacentral:rRNA from 1 species
CUACGGGGGGCAACAGUGGGGAAUAUUGCACAAUGGGCGCAAGCCUGAUGCAGCCAUGCCGCGUGUAUGAAGAAGGCCUUCGGGUUGUAAAGUACUUUCAGCGGGGAGGAAGGGAGUAAAGUUAAUACCUUUGCUCAUUGACGUUACCCGCAGAAGAAGCACCGGCUAACGCCGCGCCAGCAGCCGCGGUAAUACGGAGGGUGCAAGCGUUAAUCGGAAUUACUGGGCGUAAAGCGCACGCAGGCGGUUUGUUAAGUCAGAUGUGAAAUCCCCGGGCUCAACCUGGGAACUGCAUCUGAUACUGGCAAGCUUGAGUCUCGUAGAGGGGGGUAGAAUUCCAGGUGUAGCGGUGAAAUGCGUAGAGAUCUGGAGGAAUACCGGUGGCGAAGGCGGCCCCCUGGACGAAGACUGACGCUCAGGUGCGAAAGCGUGGGGAGCAAACAGGAUUAGAUACCCGCGUAGUC